rnacentral:rRNA from 1 species
CCUACGGGGGGCAGCAGUGGGGAAUAUUGCACAAUGGGGGAAACCCUGAUGCAGCAACGCCGCGUGAGUGAAGAAGUAUUUCGGUAUGUAAAGCUCUAUCAGCAGGGAAGAGAAUGACGGUACCUGACUAAGAAGCCCCGGCUAACUACGUGCCAGCAGCCGCGGUAAUACGUAGGGGGCAAGCGUUAUCCGGAUUUACUGGGUGUAAAGGGAGCGUAGACGGCUGUACAAGUCUGAAGUGAAAGCCCGUGGCUCAACCCCUGAACUGCUUUGGAAACUGCCAUGCUAGAGUGCUGGAGAGGUAA